UUUCCGUAGGGUGAACCUGCGGAAGGAUCAUU
rnacentral:rRNA from 1 species